rnacentral:misc_RNA from 1 species
CAUGGAACACCAGCUGGAUUUCUUCAUUUCCCCUGUAUCUGUGUUACGAUAAUUCCUGUAAAACUAUAAAAAACAACUAAAAUAACAGCAGUGGCAACUAGGAAUUUUAUGGCUUCACAUCAAGGAGAUGGCGUUGGUGAGAUUGCAUAUUUUUAGACGAUAACUGCUGAUGUUUAGUGUCUCCGUGACGGAUACACGGCAACUUCUUUGCCAGGACAGGCAAUUGAUCACGCGUCGCUGCUGCUACUGGAAUGUGGUGUAUUAUGGCUUCAGUCGAGACACGGCCAUUGAUUUUGUUCCAAUCGAAAUAUAUCCACGUUUCACUUUUUCAGCGACGACUCCUUUUUAAGCCAUUGCGGAUCGGAUUGACUCACGAGGAAGCGGCCCGCAUCAUCGCAAAUUCUUACGCCAACCGGAGUGUGCCUGAGUUGAAACUGCUUUUGAGUCCCAGCACUUUCCGUCCCAAUGCCAACUAUCAACCGGAGAAUUGAUGAUGAAACUCGGAACCUUUUGCUCUCUUUCUCUCCCUGUCUCUCUCUAUUCGACACGGUCCAACAGCGAUGUAAGGAGUCCGCCUGCCAAUUCGUAUCGGCGUCAUGUUUUACAACCCAUUAGAAAAAUCACAAGUGCUUUUGAAACCGAAUCCUCGCUUAAAGAAAAUUGAACAUGUUACUACUUUAUCUCAUUCCGCCUUUUUUUUUAAAAGCCAUGUUACCUAACAUGGGUGCUUGUUAUCCUUAAAGAUUUGUUUCUUAUUGAAAUAAACGGUUUGUUUGACUUGUUUAAACCUCGCGCUGGAUGUUGAUUCAAAAUUUGAGCCGCUCUGAAAUGAGUUGCCGGAUUGCCACAUUUCCUGCGGAAUCUCUGCAGAGCAGACGAAAAUUUUUCUUUCGAUUUCAGUUCCAGACUCGGGUCGGGAGAGGAAAGAUCACAUACUCAGUGAGCUGAGAACUGAGAUCUUGAUAGUCAUUAAUAUCGUUCAUUCUCCAAUGAUUUCGGUUCAAGGAUUUCAUGUGCAACUAUCCACCUUGAAAGAAUUCAGGGUAGCUUCCUCCCUUCCAAGUCCCAUCCAUCCGUGGAUGAAUCUGUUGGCUGUCAGCCAAAUUAUGUCAUCCAGCCCCCAGGUGGCGCGACCGUCGUCGUGAGGAAAGAAAAAUCCGCUAUUGGUUUCCGAGAUGCUGAGUGAUAAUGUUUUCCAAAUUCAUUACGUAUUUACGGUAAUCCGUAAACCCCGCCGGUGGACACUCACCCGCUGUGAUAACCAGGAGGAUGAGGAGGGCUCUGGUGUGGCAAUACAUGUACUUCCGCUGCGACACACACCUGCAGUCACUCACUACGGGAUUAUUGCCCAUGCCCUUCUUGCGAUUCGCUAACGAAGUGUUGCGAGUGCACGAGAGGAAUGAAAAAGCUGCUGCAAGUCACUUUCUCGUCUUAAAGGCCCAAUUGAGACUUUGGAAUCUGGGGGUUAACAUCUGAAGUAAAAAUCUUAUUAUUGAAUGAGAAAUCUUUUUAAUUGGUUAAUCCAUCAAGUUGGCCUAGUAAGCCGAAGUCCUGAUGGAUUUGGUCUUUGAAUUUUUUUAUUAAUGUGAGGCUUGCUGGCUGGGGUACUGACUACUGAAGAGAACAUAUCUGGCGGCCAGAUUUGCCAGUUGUUGGGGCGUAGUGGAAGUAAGCUAGCCCCUUAAUCUAUCUUCUUCUAAGUUCUAGUCUUCGUGGUUCUCCCCUCCUUGUGUAGUUGAAAUAUAGGUUUGAAAAUAAAAGCCGUCAUUAUUAGUUUCAA